AUUGAACGCUGGCGACAGGCCUAACACAUGCAAGUCGAACGGUAACAGGAAGAAGCUUGCUUCUUUGCUGACGAGUGGCGGACGGGUGAGUAAUGUCUGGGAAACUGCCUGAUGGAGGGGGAUAACUACUGGAAACGGUAGCUAAUACCGCAUAACGUCGCAAGACCAAAGAGGGGGACCUUCGGGCCUCUUGCCAUCGGAUGUGCCCAGAUGGGAUUAGCUAGUAGGUGGGGUAACGGCUCACCUAGGCGACGAUCCCUAGCUGGUCUGAGAGGAUGACCAGCCACACUGGAACUGAGACACGGUCCAGACUCCUACGGGAGGCAGCAGUGGGGAAUAUUGCACAAUGGGCGCAAGCCUGAUGCAGCCAUGCCGCGUGUAUGAAGAAGGCCUUCGGGUUGUAAAGUACUUUCAGCGGGGAGGAAGGGAGUAAAGUUAAUACCUUUGCUCAUUGACGUUACCCGCAGAAGAAGCACCGGCUAACUCCGUG
rnacentral:rRNA from 1 species